GUCACUUAAUUUUGGCUAAAAAAGAGACGGUAUUCGGGACACGUGUAGGUAAAAGAGAGGAGAGAAGGGAGCGUGUGUCUUCGGUUUGUUUUCGUUCUGCUCUCUUUCUCUCGAAACAUCUCCAUCUUCUUCGUCUUUCCUAGAAAGCGAUUCUGUUUCUCGCCAUGGUUCCUCGACGAAACGCCGAUAAUCCCUCUCUUCGUGGCUCGUCGAUGAAACGAAAUCCUCUCUCUCCGUGGCUCGUAGAAGAAACGACAAUUCUCUCAGAGAUUAAGAGAGAGAUGUCAAAUCUUCAUCGUUAGUUCAUCGAACAAAGGAGGCAGAAGAAGGAUCCGAGUCUCCAGGUGCAGCUGCUGGAGUACGAUAUGAGGUUUGAGAGAUAUGGAAUUCUUAGCUUGUGACAUUCAAGAAGCUGGUUUGAAAGUUUAAGGAUCUACUAGUCAUACAAAUGGAGCUAUAUCACUAGGUUAUUGCGACUUGCUUCCGUUUAUUUUGUUUCAAAGUACUAGUGUAAUAGUAGGUUAAAACAUUGAAUGAUUAAGGUUGUUGUAUAUGAUUUUUGCACUGGUAAAUGUUACGUUCAUUUGAUUUUGUGAGUUUAUCCUUUCUACUUUGUCUUAUCAAAAAAGGUUAUUGCAUUUUGCUGCUGAUUCGAUAAACAUUAACAAAAAGAUAUGGAACAUGUACUUCAGAGACCUUGUGCUAAGACUAGUGAAGAAAGGUGAUGAUGGUAACUACCGAUCAACAGCUGUGUGUGAUGCCAUCUGCCUUCAGUCUCUGUCAAAGAGGAUCAAUUACGGUAAAUUUGUUGCAGAGGCCAAGUUCCAGCCUCACUUAAGGCAUACGAGUCUGCCAUCAAAGCACAAGUUGGAAUGUACAAGAGCCCUGAUGAAGAUCCUUUUUUCCCUGGCGAUUUACUAGAGAGAUUUAAAGAUCGAGUUUUUACUGUGUUUUUAGCAAAGAAACUGAAACAAAACUUGUUUGAACUGUGUUUUAAUGGAAUCAGUUUGCUUUCUUAUCAGCUUUUUUUUUAAGAACUCUUAGUUAACAGACUUGCAAUGGAGCACAUAAAUGUUGAAAUCUCUUAAUUAAGUC